rnacentral:rRNA from 1 species
UGCAGUCGAGCGGGCACUUCGGUGUCAGCGGCGGACGGGUGAGUAACGCGUGGGAACGUGCCCUCUGGUUCGGAAUAACUCAGGGAAACUUGAGCUAAUACCGGAUACGCCCUUUUGGGGAAAGGCUUGCUGCCGGAGGAUCGGCCCGCGUCUGAUUAGCUAGUUGGUGAGGUAACGGCUCACCAAGGCGACGAUCAGUAGCUGGUCUGAGAGGAUGAUCAGCCACACUGGGACUGAGACACGGCCCAGACUCCUACGGGAGGCAGCAGUGGGGAAUAUUGGACAAUGGGCGCAAGCCUGAUCCAGCCAUGCCGCGUGAGUGAUGAAGGCCUUAGGGUUGUAAAGCUCUUUUAUCCGGGACGAUAAUGACGGUACCGGAGGAAUAAGCCCCGGCUAACUUCGUGCCAGCAGCCGCGGUAAUACGAAGGGGGCUAGCGUUGCUCGGAAUCACUGGGCGUAAAGGGCGCGUAGGCGGCGUUUUAAGUCGGGGGUGAAAGCCUGUGGCUCAACCACAGAAUGGCCUUCGAUACUGGGACGCUUGAGUAUGGUAGAGGUUGGUGGAACUGCGAGUGUAGAGGUGAAAUUCGUAGAUAUUCGCAAGAACACCGGUGGCGAAGGCGGCCAACUGGACCAUUACUGACGCUGAGGCGCGAAAGCGU